GGGCCCGCACAAGCGGUGGAGCAUGUGGUUUAAUUCGACGCAACGCGAAGAACCUUACCUGGGUUUGACAUCCCCGGCCGACACCAGAGAUGGUGUUUUCUCUUCGGAGACCGGGUGACAGGUGCUGCAUGGCUGUCGUCAGCUCGUGUCGUGAGAUGUUGGGUUAAGUCCCGCAACGAGCGCAACCCUUGCCCUCAGUUGCCAGCAGUUCGGCUGGGCACUCUGGGGGGACUGCCGGUGACAAGCCGGAGGAAGGUGGGGAUGACGUCAAGUCCUCAUGGCCUUUAUAUCCAGGGCUACACACGUGUUACAAUGGGGGUCACAAAGGGCAGCGAAACGGUGACGUGGAGCGAAUCCCAAAAAGCCCUCUCAGUUCGGAUCGCAGUCUGCAACUCGACUGCGUGAAGCUGGAAUC
rnacentral:rRNA from 1 species